rnacentral:rRNA from 1 species
CCAAUUGUUGCCUCGGCGGAUCAGCCCGCUCCCGGUAAAACGGGACGGCCCGCCAGAGGACCCCUAAACUCUGUUUCUAUAUGUAACUUCUGAGUAAAACCAUAAAUAAAUCAAAACUUUCAACAACGGAUCUCUUGGUUCUGGCAUCGAUGAAGAACGCAGCAAAAUGCGAUAAGUAAUGUGAAUUGCAGAAUUCAGUGAAUCAUCGAAUCUUUGAACGCACAUUGCGCCCGCCAGUAUUCUGGCGGGCAUGCCUGUUCGAGCGUCAUUUCAACCCUCAAGCCCUCGGGUUUGGUGUUGGGGAUCGGCGAGCCCUUGCGGCAAGCCGGCCCCGAAAUCUAGUGGCGGUCUCGCUGCAGCUUCCAUUGCGUAGUAGUAAAACCCUCGCAACUGGUACGCGGCGCGGCCAAGCCGUUAAACCCCCAACUUCUGAAUGUUGACCUCGGAUCAGGUAGGAAUACCCGCUGAACUUAAGCAUAUC